rnacentral:lncRNA from 1 species
AGGGGAAAUCAAACGCCAAUGAAGUGACGAUGGAGUUGGCAAACACGGUCAAAUUAUCUGCUGACGCUCUUAAGUUUUGAUUGCAUCAAGUGAGAAUCUCUUUUCUAACUAAAUCUAAAAUAUAAAAUAAGGAAAGGAGCGAGUAUUCCCUGCGGUUGCAAGAGGUCUGCAAUUCCAUUAAUUUUUCCUGUGUGUGGAAAGUGUUCGAAGUUAAAGGUUGAAAUGGGCGCCAGAAAUGGAAGCAAUUUGAAUGUCAUUAGGCGGAGCAGCAUCCCAAGACAAUCAAAAAAUCCACGCAUGGAGACACGGAAGCAGGAAACCGGAUGCUGAAUGCCGAAUGCCAAAUGCCGAAUCCGAAACCGAUGACAACACCGAAAAAACAAACGCAAGAGGCAGAGAAAAUAAAGAAAGGUAUAAAUAAAACUUCAUAUCUGAUUGAAUAAUAAUGUGUGCUUAAGGAUUUAAUGCGCUGCCGGCAGCUGCUCGAGGCCCCAGGACGACUCUCUGGGAAGCUCCCAAUGGGGGAAAAAACAACGACGACAACAAAAUGUUAAAUUACAAUACCAUGAACGGCAGAGAAAGGCGACACACGGCCAGUGGGGAAUUUUGUUUGCCUCGAUGCUGAUUGCCAAAAAAAGAACGAAUAAAAAUAAAACAACACGAAAAAGGAAGAGAACAGAAAGCAUACAACAGAAAGCAGGCCAGAUCCUGGCUAGCAGGGGCAAACAAUUGAAUUUCCUUAUAGCACGUUUUCAAAUUAACCCAGCAGCCCAGCCCAAACCCCAAUAUGCAUAUGUGGGUUCCCUGGGUUCCUGGUCCUGGUCGUGGCCCCACGGGGAUUGGGUGUCAAGCUUAUUUGAAUUUCAAAUACAAUUUCGUGUUGGUACCCUUUGCGAAACUAUCAUCAUUAGCAGCACAUUUAGGCAGACAGCACCAGCCGCAAACUUAUCCUUUUGGCAAAGGAAGAAUCCGGUACUUACUGUAUAAUAGGACGAUGAUUAUAACUAAGAAAUAAAGCAACUACUUCCAUUUGCUUCCUAUGAAAAGUCGGACUUAAUCGUUUAUGCUACAGGAAUUUUGUACAUGCAUUUGGAAAAUAAAAGUCAUAAUCGCAGCUUUGCUUCAAGCAAUCAAUUCAAUGAGAUGCCAAACUGCAGCAACAACCACAAAGCCAAAUGACACUGAAUGGAAAACACAAUUGCUAAUAGGAAUAAACGAAAUUAAUGUUAAUAUUUGCAGCAAAGGAGUGCUUCAAGACAUACUUGGGUCUGGGCACAUUUUUUUCGAAUUCUCCCAGCAUAUUGGGAGAGGGCUGGUAGCGUGCCACAACGUAAUUGACACCAGAUUUGGUUUCCUUACCUAUCCCCAUUUUGGUGGAGGCCUUCCACACGAGGGCCGUGAAGUGACCGGUUUCUAAAGAGAAACCUGGCAUAUUGAAAUCGUAUUGGGAUAUUUCAUCAUACCACAUUUUUACACAAGAAGUCGCCUCAUCCCCGGUGUAGCAUAAGUUCUCACCAAACCCUUUUUGUUUCGAGUGCUCCAAUGUACCCCUUGCGGCCAAUAUCUGUGUAUGACAACCAUUUAGAUGGUCCGUGUCUUAUUUUUUUUUCUGUUGCAUCCAUACCUUGGCAUAGUCCUCGCAGCCGGUCGUUAGUUCGUGGUCCAAUUGUAACGCCGGGCAACCGUGCUUUGCCCUAUACUCAUUAUGAAUUUUGAGUGAAUCCUCAGCAAAAUCAGCAUGAGCCUGGACAAACUGCAACUAAAAUUGAUCGAUCAUCAAUUGAGUUUGUAACGUGUAUUAUUUAUUUUAUUGCGCUUACUACACAAAAUGGUAACAAAAUCAGAAUAUACAUAGAAAGGACCUGCAUUAUUAUACGUUUUUUUGGGGAAUUCUAAAUUUUGUUUGGAAAAUUUUGUUUGUAACUAAAGAUGUAUCGUAGGACAGACAGAUUUCUCAGGGCUAUAUUUACGUAGUUUCUCUCUGUUUUCCGUCAGGAACAGCCUCU